AUGGAUUCCUUGAGGGGUCCUACUUUCUUGCUGCUGUUGCAGAACUUGAGGAGAGGGAUGAGAGCGAAUGGCAACUCAAACGAAAGAAUCAUCUGCAUCAGAGAAGAAAAAAAUCAGGAACCAAGCUCAUCAGUCAGCCCGGAGAUUAAUAUUUCUUUGGGUACAAAGUGCAGAUUAACUAAUCAGCCAUUGCAGUGA
rnacentral:rRNA from 1 species